UACGGAGGGUGCAAGCGUUAUCCGGAUUCACUGGGUUUAAAGGGUGCGUAGGUGGGCAGUUAAGUCAGUGGUGAAAUCUCCGGGCUCAACCCGGAAACUGCCAUUGAUACUAUCUGUCUUGAAUAUCGUGGAGGUAAGCGGAAUAUGUCAUGUAGCGGUGAAAUGCUUAGAUAUGACAUAGAACACCAAGUGCGAAGGCAGCUUACUACCCGAAUAUUGACACUGAGGCACGAAAGCGUGGGGAGCAAACAGG
rnacentral:rRNA from 1 species